GUCGGGAGUUAGGAAAUGCAGGGGUGUUAAUAGCAUCCCUGUUUGACGAAAGCUCCAGAGGAAGCCACGGCUAACUCUGUGCCAGCAGCCGCGGUAAUACAGAGGUGGCAAGCGUUGUUCGGAAUUAUUGGGCGUAAAGAGCACGUAGGCGGUCCUGCAAGUCAGUUGUGAAAGCCUUCCGCUUAACGGGAGAAUGGCAUCUGAUACUACAGGGCUAGAGUACGGGAGGGGAGAGUGGAACUUCUGGU
rnacentral:rRNA from 1 species